rnacentral:rRNA from 1 species
UACGGAGGGAGCUAGCGUUGUUCGGAAUUACUGGGCGUAAAGCGCACGUAGGCGGCUUUGUAAGUUAGAGGUGAAAGCCUGGGGCUCAACCCCAGAAUUGCCUUUAAGACUGCAUCGCUUGAAUCCAGGAGAGGUGAGUGGAAUUCCGAGUGUAGAGGUGAAAUUCGUAGAUAUUGGAAGAACACCAGUGGCGAAGGGCGGCUCACUGGACUGGUAUUGACGCUGAGGUGCGAAAAGCGUGGGGAGCAAACAGGG